UUCGGGAUGUCGCAAACUUGGAAAAAACCGCAAGCAGCCAUAGAAUCAACAAGGAGCUCUUCUUCUGGUUGACGGACAUCAAACGCUUCAAGUGACGAAUCGACUAUGUUUCGCAUGCUUCCAACGUACGAUGCAAAACGGCAAAAGUUCGAGUCGGGAGGAGGAUUCAAAAGCUACAUUGCUACAAAGCCGUUCAUUAACAGCAAUGAGAACACCGCCACCACUGCUCUUAUCGGAAUUGGUUGAGGAUCUAUCACAACGAAUGCGUAAAUGUCGAAAUCGCGCUCCAGUGCAGACAUGAAAAUUGCUUGAAGACGGCCACUACUCCGGAUACUGUUUACAUUCUGACGGCUCAGGUAAACGAGAGAUAAACACAUUGUGUCCUGUAGCGGGAAGCAACGGCAUGGGUGAGAUCGAACUAGACUGUCGGAGGCUGCUCAUUGUUUGGUUGUUCGUUGUUUGGCUGGACUGGCGG